rnacentral:rRNA from 1 species
GACGAACGCUGGCGGCGUGCUUAACACAUGCAAGUCGAACGGUGAAGCGCCUUCCUUUUUGGUGGGUGUGGAUGAGUGGCGAACGGGUGAGUAACACGUGAGUAACCUGCCCCCUUCUUCUGGAUAACCGCAUGAAAGUGUGGCUAAUACGGGAUAUUCUGGGUCUGUCGCAUGAUGGGUCUGGGAAAGAUAUUGUUUCGGUGGGGGAUGGGCUCGCGGCCUAUCAGCUUGUUGGUGGGGUGAUGGCCUACCAAGGCGGUGACGGGUAGCCGGCCUGGGAGGGUGGACGGUCACACGGGGACUGAGACACGGCCCAGACUCCUACGGGAGGCAGCAGGGGGGAAUAUUGCACAAUGGGCGCAAGCCUGAUGCAGCGACGCCGCGUGAGGGAUGGAGGCCUGCGGGUUGUGAACCUCUUUCGCCAGUGAAGCAGGCCUGCCUCGUUUGUGGGUGGGUUGACGGUAGCUGGAUAAGAAGCGCCGGCUAACUACGUG